rnacentral:rRNA from 1 species
UCCGCGGUGAUACUGACACGUCUGCGGAGCAUAUCGUCGGUGAGCCGUCGUUAACGCGACGGUUCAAUAUCAAAAUCCUAUCGCGGUGCUCUUCGUUGAGUGUCGAGAUGGGCCGACAAUUUUACUUUGAACAAAUUAGAGUGCUCAAAGCGGGCUCAAAAUGCCGCUUGAAUAUUUCGUGCAUGGAAUAAUAGAAUAUGAUCUCGGUUCUAUUUUGUUGGUUUUCAGAACUCCGAGGUAAUGAUUAAUAGGGAUAACUGGGGGCAUUCGUAUUGCGACGUUAGAGGUGAAAUUCUUGGAUCGUCGCAAGACGAACAUCAGCGAAAGCAUUUGCCAAAGGUGUUUUCAUCAAUCAAGAACGAAAGUUAGAGGUUCGAAGGCGAUUAGAUACCGCCCUAGUUCUAACCGUAAAUAUGUCAUCUAGCGAUCCGCCGACGUUACUACAAUGGCUCGGCGGGCAGCUUCCGGGAAACCAAAGAUUUUGGACUCCGGGGGGAGUAUGGUUGCAAAGCUGAAACUUAAAGGAAUUGACGGAAGGGCACCACCAGGAGUGGAGCCUGCGGCUUAAUUUGACUCAACACGGGAAAUCUCACCAGGCCCGGACACCGGAAGGAUUGACAGAUUAACAGCUCUUUCUUGAUUCGGUGGGUGGUGGUGCAUGGCCGUUCUUAGUUGGUGGAGCGAUUUGUCUGGUUAAUUCCGGUAACGAACGAGACUCUAGCCUGCUAAAUAGGCGUCGUCAUUUAGGUGUGCGCGACUCCGGUCGCGCAACUCACUGGCGGCGUAUUAAAGUUCUUCUUAGAGGGACCGGCGUCUUCGAGGCGCACGAGAUUGAGCAAUAACAGGUCUGUGAUGCCCUUAGAUGUCCUGGGCCGCACGCGCGCUACACUGAAGGAAUCAGCAUGUUCUCCCUGGCCUAGAGGCCCGGGCAACCCGUUGAAACUCCUUCGUGCUGGGGAUUGGGGUUUGCAAUUAUCCCCCAUAAACGAGGAAUUCCUAGUAAUCGCGGGUCAUAAGCCCGCGAUGAUUAAGUCCCUGCCCUUUGUACACACCGCCCGUCGCUACUACCGAUUGAAUGAUUUAGUGAGGUCUUCGGACCGACACGCGGUGGCUUCACGGCCGUCGGCGUUGCUGGGAAGUUGACCAAACUUGAUCAUUUAGAGGAAGUAAAAGUCGUAACAAGGUUUCCGUAGGGGAACCUGCGGAAG